rfam:Aedes albopictus isolate Foshan contig262319, whole genome shotgun sequence.
AAAACAGCCCUUCUAAGGGCUAUAAAACUGUCCCACAAGAGAGAACG